GCCGUCGUAGCUCAGUCGGUCAGAGCAAGGCCCUGUCGAGGCCGAGGUCGCCGGUUCGAAUCCGGUCGGCGGUG
rnacentral:tRNA from 1 species